GUUCUGUGUUCAACACCUUCCUGAGAAAAACAGGAUUUCUGCAUGGAAGGAGGAUGAGUACUCAGACACACACCUGAAUUCUGCAGCAGCAGGAGCUUCUGGGCACAUUAGUCUAGAUUUAGACCUCGAUUUACCCCAAGGAGGAGAUGCCCAGGAAAUUCUUCCUUGAACCUCCUGAUAUUUGUGGCUUUUCAGAGCUAAGGAGAAGUGAAUGUGUCUUUAUGGGCCCAAAGUCAGUCUCUACCCUGCAAAAAUACAGGCAUUUCCUUGUGAUUCAACAUUCAGGACUGGUCAGUAUAAAGCAAAUAAAUGACACUCAUGGAUGCUGGAUCGUGUGUCACCUUGUCUGAUGUACCUCCAGAUUUGUUGAGAAUGUCACCAUGAAUGUCCAUUGGCAAACUGGAUAAGAAAGAGUGUCACAGCGCAGGACAACCUAGAAGAUGACAGGUAUUUCCAGGCAUAGCAAUGAUGAGAUCAAAUUCCCCUCAACCUGCCUUGUUUGCUGAUCUUUUAAUCAGAUUCAACUUCACUGCAGCUACAGCACAAGGUUCCCUGACAAUGUAUGACAGCAUGUGACAGAAAAAUAUUUUGAUUUUUUUUUUCUUUUUUGGUCAUUUGAUGCUAUUUGAGAUAAAUCUGAAGCCCCAGCAGCAUCUGAUAAAUCUACCAAACUACUUUAGUGGAGGUUUUUAACUAUUCAUAAUUGAACUGGAGGGUCUGGGGUUUGUGUUCGUGUGUUUAUAGGGGAAUCCAAACAGGAAAGCUGGGAAAUGAUCUAAACCCUUUGAGGUUAACCUGCCAUGAAAUAGCAUCAAUGACAGAAGAGGACAUUAUUAAAAAGGAGCCAACCUCGCUCAAAAAGAACCACUUUAUGAAGCCAGAGCCCAAAGAACAGCACCCAGGGCUGUUUGUGGUCCCACAGGGAUAGGUAUUUCAUCCUCCAUCUUCAUCUCUCCAAAUUUCCUCUCAACGGCUUCUGAGCUGAAUUCUUCAGAAAGAAAAACCAGCAAAUUUUGAAUGGGACUUAUCAGCCUUUUCUGUACAAUCUGCUUCGUAUUCCUCUCACACCCAUGUUCUUGCAAUGUCUUGGGGAAAUGCUUGGAUCACAGAUAAGAGAGAACAAGGGAAGGAAUGAAGCAAGAAACAAACAACAAAACAAACCCAGCACCCCCCAAACUUUUUGAUUAAACUCCUCUGUGAAUCGUGUGUAUGGUUACAGCAAAGUUAAAACUGCCUUCUUCUCCACCAGUACUUAAUUCCUGCUUUUAAAAUCAGGCUCCCUUUGAUCUCGAGGGUUGAAAUGAUCUGGAAAUGAAACAGCCAGUGCUUUUGCAGAAAAUCUGGAGAGGGUCCCAGACAUGGCUUUUAUCUGGAAGGCUUCCAAAACAGGAUGAAAUCUCUCUGGUUUCAGAACAAAUUGCAAGAUUUUUUUCUCUAUGUCUAGUCCAACUGUGGAACUCUAGCCCUGAUGUCUGUUGCUUCCCAAAGCACAGAUGUAAUAACCUCUGAGGUGAAAUGAGAACGUUAUUCCCCCAUCUUCUCCCCUCUGAGGGCUGAGAGAAUUUUAUUAAAGUGAAGGCUUAAAGUUUUGGGCAGACUUAAUUUGAGGAGACAGUUGGUUAUAACCCAGGCUAGGGCCAUCUAUGUGAAGGCUGGAGAGGACAGAACACCGGGAGCAUCUGUGACAUCUGGAUCCUGUUGAAAGCUCAGAAAUAUCUGCCUGGCUUCACGUGACCUGGCCCCAGAGCCAAAAGGGCUGAGAAAUGUGGUUAAGAGACUGCAGCAAGCUCUGCCCUAGCAAAUGAGUCCCACUGAGAAAGCAAGCACAUCAAUAUUUCUUUGAGUCUGUUUCUUUUAGUGAAUAUAUUUCCAUAUGUUGCAUUAAUAUUUCUUUUAUUGGGGCUUGUAAGUCCAUCUGGUAUUUGUAUUGGGAGGGCUUGAGCUGGCAGAUCCCUGUGCUGCUGUUACACACAGAUCUGGAGAGCCCUUGCAAGGGUAGGUGGUUGGAUAGGGACAGCAUCUCCUCAGCUGCCUUUUUAAUUGGAUGAACUUCUCAAAUCAAUCAAGAUAACCUGGUUACUUAUGUCAAUUAGCUCCCACUGUGCCAAUGGUACAACACGAGUAUGGGCUGAGUAUAAGGUAUAGCAAUGCACAGCAAAGAAACCCCUCAGACACUGUACAGUGUAACAACCCUGAACAAGGUGGUGUAAAGGAGGAAAGAUACCUGGGCACCAAUAUUAAACAAAAAAUGUGCUGAAGCACCACAGUUUGCCAAGACAAUAAGAAUCACUUUCCUUCGCAUGCAUUAUUAAGGAAUUGGGGAAUAAUUAUCUGCUUUAAUACAAGCUUUUUUCCUUCUGCAUGAUUAACUCCAGCGCUAUCAACAGAGAGUGUGACGACUCUGAAAUGACAGCUCCUGGUAGCACGUUCUGGGAUUAGCAAAAACAGGUUGUCACUUUAGCCCAGCCGGGAUCAGGCAGUGUCUGUGUGCCGAGGGCUGGACAGCAGAGCCGCGUUCUGCACCAGACAUCUGACAGCCCAAGCGGGCAGCAGGUCCUGCCUCCUGCCAGGUGGCUCCCAGGUCGGGCACGCAGGUCUCUGCUCCUGCGGGAGAUUGGAUUUCCACCGUGUGAUUUUGGCUGCGCAGCUUCCAGACUGGAUGCUCCUCGUGCUAAGCUGUGGACUCGCUCCGUUCUCUGCGCUGAGCUGAUUUUUAAAAUAGUGUGCACUUCUAAAACGCCUGCCUCUAAUGCCAGUCCUGCGUCUGGCUGCUCAGUGUGCAGAGUGGCAGCGCACGCACCAGCCCCUGGAGGGGAUGGAGAGAGAGGCAGGACAAACACGCCGGAGCUCUGAGCAAUGGCAUGAAACGACAACAAAAAAAUCCUUUCAUUCUUACUAAAGUUGCAAAAAGUCUGUCGUGGCUUCUGUGGAAAUUAAUCAAUAUAUGGAAAAAUGCAUAUCAACUGUGGGGGCAGCAAGAAUCUCUCCUUAAAUUAAAAUAUUGUGAGUUUCUAGAGCUAACUGGGAAAAGCACUGAGGUUACUAGUGAGGCUCUGGAGCCAAGGCAGAGUCCAUGGAAUUGGAUCCUUCACUAGAGUCCAUAUUUUGUCAAUGUCAGGAUACAUAAGAACUGUGAAACAAAGCAAAUUGUAUGUACGGAAGGAAACCAGAGAUUCCGUCCUGCAUCACAGUCCUUUGAAAAAUUCAUAAUAAUUAAAAAAAAAUGAAAUGCCCAUAUAUAAUUUUUUAAGAGAAAUAGGAGGUGAAAAGAUUAAUUCUCAAAAUCUGUGAAAUAUACAGUGAUGAGUUACUGGGGUUUGCAGUGAGGGGGGUGUUUUUGUAAUUCUGUAGGCAUCUCAGUCCUCUGGUGAAAUGAUGUAUGGGGCAAUCGUCUGGUAGGGGCUGAUGGGAUGUAAAUGAAACUAAUUAAGGAAAUGUCAAACAUAAUUAAUAAAACAGGUUUAAGUUGCAAAA